rnacentral:rRNA from 1 species
CAAGAAUUUAUGAGUUUAUGGGGAAUACCUUGGCAUUUAAAAGCGAAGAAGGACGUGGUUACCUACGAAAUGUUUCGGGGAGUUGGAAACAAAUUAUGAUCCGAAGAUAUCCGAAUAAGGAAACUUGUAUAACUACUUAUUUAAUAAAUAAAUAAGUGAGAGCAAACCUAGAGAAUUGAAACAUCUAAGUAUCUAGAGGAAAAGAAAGUAAAAACGAUUUUCUUAGUAGCGGCGAGCGAAAAGGAAACAGCCUAAACAUUUCGUCUUAUUAAAAGGACAAGCGGGAUGAGUUGUGGGAUAAUUAAUUAAUUUAAAAUUACAAAUGUGGAUUUUGCACAAUUAUGUUUAUAAAAAAUUCAAGUUUAAUUAAAGGAACAUUUUGGAAUAUUUGACCCAAGAGAGUGAUAGUCUCGUACUUGAAAAUUAACUUAAACUAUUUAUAUAGAAUCCCAAGUAGCAUGGAGCACGUGAAAUUCCGUGUGAAUCUGCGAGGACCACCUCGUAAGGCUAAAUAUUCUUAAAUGACCGAUAGUGAAAUAGUACCGUGAGGGAAAGGUGAAAAGAACCCCGCUAGGGGAGUGAAAUAGAACAUGAAACCAUAUACUUACGAGCAGUAGAAGGAUGACUAUAACAUUUGCCUGCGUGCCUGUUGAAGAAUGAGCCGGCGACUUAUAAUUAGUGGCAGGUUAAAACAAAGAAUGUUGAAGCCAGAGUGAAAGCGAGCUUGAAUAGGGCGUUUGUCACUUAUUAUAGACCCGAACCCGAAUGAUCUAACCAUGGUCAGGUUGAAGCUUAGGUAAUACUAAGUGGAGGACCGAACCGACUGAUGUUGAAAAAUCAGCGGAUGAAUUGUGGUUAGGGGUGAAAUGCCAAUCGAAUUCGGAGCUAGCUGGUUCUCCCCGAAAUGCGUUUUGGCGCAGCGGUAAAUAUUUUAACUUAGGGGUAAAGCACUGUUACGCAUGCGGGCUGGUAAUACGGUACCAAAUCGUUGCAAACUAAGAAUACUAAGUAUAUAAUUUACUAGUAAGACUGUGGGGGAUAAGCUCCAUUGUCAAGAGGGAAACAGCCCAGAACACCAGUUAAGGCCCCUAAAUAAUUACUAAGUGGCAAAGGAAGUGGGAGUGCAUAGACAAUCAGGAGGUUUGCUUAGAAGCAGCAAUCCUUUAAAGAGUGCGUAAUAGCUCACUGAUCAAGUAAACCUGCGCCGAAAAUGUAAGGGACUAAGUAAUUUGCCGAAACUGUGUGAUAUAUUAUUAAAAAUCUAAUAUAUCGGUAGGGGAGCGUUCUGUUUUAGAUCGAAGUAUUAGCGUAAGCGGGUAUGGACGAGACAGAAGUGAGAAUGUCGGCUUGAGUAACGAAAAUAUGGGUGAGAAUCCUAUACCCCGAAAACCUAAGGUUUCCUCCGGAAGGCUCGUCCGCGGAGGGUUAGUCAGGACCUAAGGUGAGGCUGAAAAGCGUAAUCGAUGGCAAACUGGUUAAUAUUCCUGUACCAUUUUUUAUUGAUAUCGAGGGACGGAGAAGGCUAUGCUAGCCGGACGUUGGUUACCGGUUUAAGUAUUAAGACGUUGAACAAAAUGGAGAAAACAUUUUGAGUUAAGAUACUAGUACAAAAUAUUACGAUAUUAAAGUAGUUUAGGUCAUGCUUCCAAGAAAAGCUCGCAAUGUCAUAGAUAAAAAAUGCCUGUACCAUAACCGACACAGGUGGGUAAGUAGAGUAUACUAAGGGGCGCGAGAUAACUCUCUCUAAGGAACUCGGCAAAAUAACUCCGUAACUUCGGGAGAAGGAGUACCUUAUUAAAUAAGGUUGCAAUAACAAGAUCCAAGCAACUGUUUAUCAAAAACACAGGUCUCCGCUAAGUCGUAAGACGAUGUAUGGGGGCUGACGCCUGCCCAGUGCCAGAAGGUUAAAGAAGUUAGUUAGUCUACAGAUAAAGCUGAUAACUGAAGCCCUGGUGAACGGCGGCCGUAACAAUAACGGUCCUAAGGUAGCGAAAUUCCUUGUCGGGUAAGUUCCGACCUGCACGAAUGGUGUAACGAUCUGGACACUGUCUCAACCACGAGCUCGGUGAAAUUGUAGUAUCGGUGAAGAUGCCGAUUACCCGCAACGGGACGGAAAGACCCCGUGAACCUUUACUAUAGCUUCACAGUGAACUUUGAACCUAUUUGUGUAGGAUAGGUGGGAGGCUUUGAAGCAGCGGCGCCAGUCGUUGUGGAGCCAUCCUUGAAAUACCACCCUUAUUCUUUUCGUUGUCUAACCGCGUCCCUGGAUGGGACCGGGACCCAGCCUGGCGGGCAGUUUGACUGGGGCGGUCGCCUCCUAAAUGGUAACGGAGGCGCACAAAGGUUUCCUCUGAACGGGUAGAAAUCGUAUCUAGAGUGUAAAGGCAAAAGGGAGCUUGACUGUGAGACUCACAAGUCGAGCAGGGACGAAAGUCGGUCUUAGUGAUCUGACGGUGCUGAGUGGAAAGGCCGUCACUCAACGGAUAAAAGUUACUCUAGGGAUAACAGGCUGAUCUCCCCCAAGAGUUCACAUCGACGGGGAGGUUUGGCACCUCGAUGUCGGCUCAUCGCAUCCUGGGGCGGUAGUACGUCCCAAGGGUUGGGCUGUUCGCCCAUGAAAGCGGUACGCGAGCUGGGUUCAGAACGUCGUGAGACAGUUCGGUCCAUAUCCGGUGUAGGCGUUAGAAUAUUGAGAGGAGCCUUUUUUAGUACGAGAGGACCAAGAAGGACAUACCGCUGGUGUACCAGUUAUCAUGCCAAUGGUAAACGCUGGGUAGCUAUGUAUGGAGAGGAUAACCGCUGAAAGCAUCUAAGUGGGAAGCCCACCUCAAGAUGAGUAUUCUUAUCAUUUAUAUGAAUAAGGUCACGGUAAGACGAACCGUUUUAAUAGGCAUUAAGUAUAAAUGCAGUAAUGUAUGAGCUAAGAUGUACUAACAGACCGAGGACUUG